ACGAACGCUGGCGGCGUGCUUCACACAUGCAAGUCGAACGGAAAGGCCCUGCUUUUGUGGGGUGCUCGAGUGGCGAACGGGUGAGUAACACGUGAGUAACCUGCCCUUGACUUUGGGAUAACUUCAGGAAACUGGGGCUAAUACCGGAUAGGAGCUCCUGCUGCAUGGUGGGGGUUGGAAAGUUUCGGCGGUUGGGGAUGGACUCGCGGCUUAUCAGCUUGCUGGUGGGGUAGUGGCUUACCAAGGCUUUGACGGGUAGCCGGCCUGAGAGGGUGACCGGCCACAUUGGGACUGAGAUACGGCCCAGACUCCUACGGGAGGCAGCAGUGGGGAAUAUUGCACAAUGGGCGGAAGCCUGAUGCAGCAACGCCGCGUGCGGGAUGACGGCCUUCGGGUUGUAAACCGCUUUCGCCUGUGACGAAGCGUGAGUGACGGUAAUGGGUAAAGAAGCACCGGCUAACUACGUG
rnacentral:rRNA from 1 species